ACUGUUUCGUGCGCCCUGCAGGCACAGGCUCCAGGUAACCUAGGCUGGGCCAGCGGUGGGGUUGCCCGGCAGAGUUGGACAGCACCGAACCGGAUCUAACGGGCGGGACGGGCUGCACCAAGGAGGCAGUGGUGCUGGAGCAGGGAGAGGGCGCUUGGUUCGGGAACCCGGCUAGGAUGGAGCAGGAGUCCUCUUAGCACUCUCCUUCCGGUCCUUCGGUGGGACGCGGAUACACACGUGGCAUCUAGAAGUCACUUUCUGACCACUCUUUCCCGGACUGGUGCAAUGAGUGAGGGCUUAGAAAUCAGGGUUGGUUGCAGGCAUGAAAAGUAGAGACGAACGGUGUCUUGGGCGCCAAAGACUUAAACUUCGUAAGGCCACAGGCCAGUGUAGAGACGUUUGUGACUCCCUGUUAGAGCGCCGACCGAGAAGCCGACGCUGGGGCAGAGAAUGACUACUUUAGGGUGAUUGCAAACAGACUGGCCAGUUUGGGGUCCAAGCAGUCGCCGCUCUUCCUCUUGCCUUGGGCUGCAGGUCUGUUACAAAAACGGGUAAUUCUUCUUAGACAUGUUAGUUCUUUAGUUUUUGCUUUUUCUUGGGUUAUUACUUUUUCUUUUCUUUUUUUUUUCUGCCUUCCUCCCUCCCUCCUUCAUUCCUUCUCUCUUUCAUGUGGCUUCGAACUCAAAGAGAUCUUCCUGCUUCUGUCUACCAAGGUUAAAGAUGAGCGCCAUCACACCUCAAGAGUGAGAAGAAGUCCAUCUCAUGCGCAUAGCUGCUCCCAGUCUUAGUUCUUUCAGUGCAGAAUAAAAAAAUGCAACCCCUUUCCCCGUGCAACUGUGGAGGAUCCUCCAGUGGAGGAUCCGAGCUUGGCUCUGCAAAAAAAAACAAGUGUCAGCUUGGUGUGUACUCUUUAUCUUUCCUUUUCGCUGCAGAAGAGAACUGCUUUGUUACAAAUAAUGGAGCUAGAGGCAAACUGGUAGGUAGGAGGUAGUGUUCAGAGAGAGCACUGGUGCGUUGACUUGAGAAGGAGGGUGGGUGGGGCUGUGACCUGAAUUUGGUGAGUGGUGGUGGGGGAGCAAUAUGAUUUCUUCCUCUGGCCUGCUGCCCCUAUUUAGAGCUGUUCUGAAAGGCGGGUUUGUCUUCUGGAAAGGAAGAGGAGGGGUAGACAGUUUUGUUUUGUUUUGUUUUGUUUUAAAGAUCAGAGUAAAUUAUCUGUUAGUAGACAGGGACCCCUCUGCAGAGGAUUGGAAGAAGGUUUCAGUUCUGGAAAGAUGGAAAGCUACAGGUAUCUCUGCUUUCCUUUUUCCUUCCUUCUUCCUUCUUUCCUUCCUUCCAUCUUCCUUUCUUUUUCAGGUUUUAAAGGGAGGAAAUCUAGCUUUCUUAGCAAUGGCUAAUUAGGAAAUUAGGUGGUAGGAAAAAAAGUUAGUACUGUUGGAAAGUCUUUCCUGAAUGUCAGAGGCAGUUUUCUGUUAGUUGGUUGGAGACAGGUUCUCACUGUGCAGCUCAGGCUGUCAUCAGAGUCUGGAUCGGCUUCCUGAGUGCUGGAAUUUCAGGCAUAUGUAGCACACCUGCUGUUUGCUACGGACUGUGUAGUAUUUCAGCUGCACUGAGUAAUGCAGCCUUGUGUAUGGACAGAUAAGGAUCCCUGGGUCUAUUUUUAGUAUUCAUAUUAACAAAUGAGCAAUGUGCUUACAGUUCUCGGUCAGGACGUCAAAUACCCAACUCUGCUGGAAAGGGUGUUUGUUCCUAGGUGACUGUUGUAAAUCAGGUGUGGUAUAUUCUUGUGGGGACUAUAUUCUUAGCUUUGAUGAUGGAGGUUUGGUUUGAUACUGUCAGGUUUCCCUUGGAGACAAAUAUCAUGUGUGUUUAUAGCACUGCUGACAGUUUUGACCAAAUAGAUUUUAUUUUUGUGAUGGGGUCUGUUCAACCUGCAACUCACUAUGAAGCUCAGAGUGACUGUGAACUUCUAAUCUGUCUGCACCCACUUCCCAGGAGCUAGAAUUGUAGGCGAGCGCCACCAACCCCCUUAUAUGGUAUUGGGGACCAAACCCUGAGCUUUAUUCCUGGCAGGCAAGUACUGUACACAGCACACUGUAGCCCUAGCCCUUGGCCAGAUGGUUUUUGUGACAGGAGACUGUUGUGUACGUUACAGGACUUUUACCAGCAUUCCUGUACCCACUGGGUGCUCCAACCCCCCCACCCCCCCACGCCAGUGACAAUAAACUCACAUGGCUCCAGACAUUGCCAAGGAUUUCCCUAUGGAGCAAAGUAGGCCUCUGAGAAUUGAAGUUGGUCUACAUAGAAAAUGCUCUAAGUAUCAAUGGACUAUUGGUUAAGUACUUCCUACCAACGAGUAGAGAAGCUAUCAGUAAAUUAAAAUGCCUUGAAAUAUAAGUCUUUUUUUUUAAUUACAAAGUGCAGAGAGUUAUUAUCCCCUGUAAAUGGCUUCUGUACCCUGCCAAGUUUUACCACCACAGAAAUUUCAGGUGUUUAUGCCAUUGUAAAACUUGAUAAGAGUCUAGCAUUAGAAACUCAAAGCUGGAGAAGGAACACGAAGGGACCGAGAGAUGCCUUGGUGGUUAAAAGAGCAGUUGCUGCUCUCACAGAGAAUCAGAAUUCUGUUUCCUGAGCCCAUGUUGGACGGCUCACAAGUGACGGUAAGUCCCACUUCAAAGGGUCCUAUGCACGCCUCAGGCUUCUUUCGUUAGCUGCCCACACGAGCACGUAGUUAUAUACACACAGACACAUGCACCAAAAUAAAUACAUAAAUAAAUACUUUUAAAAGGAACUAUUAAGCUAAUUUUGAUUUUUUAAAAAAAAUAUACUCAAUGUUUCUCUCAGCUUUUUGAAGUUAGAGAAGUAUCGGCUGACCGUGCAUAUUGAGUAGAGAAAGUUGACAG
rnacentral:lncRNA from 1 species